rnacentral:tRNA from 1 species
GCCGGCUUAGCUUCAGUUGGUAGAGCAUCCGACUUGUAAUCGGAGGGUCAUCGGUUCGAAUCCGAUAGCCGGCUCCA